UCAUUCCUACAACAUAGCGUUAAUUCAAUGGAUCCCAUUAGAACUCUGUAGUGAAGUGCGCUUGGGCUAGAGUAAUAUUGGGAUGGGUGACCGCCUGGGAAUUCCUAGUGUUUUAAAUGCC
rfam:Picea glauca, whole genome shotgun sequence.